rnacentral:rRNA from 1 species
AGUCAUAGUUACUCCCGCCGUUUACCCGCGCUUGGCUAAAUCUCUUUGCAUUGACAAUCAGAGCACUGGGCAGAAGUCACCUCGCGGAACCAGCCAGCAGGUCCCAUCGCAAAGCUAUGUUUCAAUUAAACAGUCAGAUUCCCCUGCGUAGUACACAGUUCCGAGUAGACCACACGUGGGUGCCACGGAAUCCCCGCCCACGGGAAAAACGGUGGGGCCUGGACGCCCACGGCCAGAGGACGGCUGGGAAGCCAGCCCUGGCACAGGACAACCAAGCCCCGGAGGGUUCCGUGCAAUCCCGACGGGCAGGCCUGACACCCUGGCCCUUGGAGCCACCGCAUCUUCCGAAGGUACACAACCAGUUUGCCGAUUUCCCUUAGCUGCAUUUGCACUGUUGACCAGCGGCGUCUAGCCGAAGAGACCAGCUGCGGUGAUUCGGUACGGAGCCAUUCCAAUCGGAUCAGAGCCCCCAGAUGGGGGCUUGUCCCGGUUUGGUCACCAAGGGUUCACGCUUUGUUGCACAACUUUGCAGGGCGUUCCAUGGAGUCGGUGGCCACCAAAGGCAUGGCGCAUUCCGGGUCGGCCGAGGCCAAACCCUCAGAGCAGGGCACGCGUAAGUCCAAUGGUACCAAUGCAGCACCAUCUUGCCAAGCAGAGAGCUAUGUCGCCAUGCAGCAUGUCAGUGGAUAGCCCACACACUCCAGCUGUCAGAUGGAAAAGACAACUCCACAGGGGCGCCACCGAGACGCGGCCCCGCAGCACCGGACUUGAGAACACCAGCGUUGCCACUGGCCCUUCCCAGCAAUCUCUCCGAGAAAGCGUUCUGAGUAUCAUCAGCCAAGACCCUGGUACCAGCGUGUCGGAAUAUUAGAUUCGUCUGCCUGUUCGCCACUCCUGCAAGGCAGAGCCCUGGCACCGAGCUUCACCCGAAGGGCACAGCGCCGCGCACCCCAUGGCACCCAGUGGGGGACCAGCACGGCGCCAGCCGCGGGACGGGCGACCCGGAGCCAGAGGCCCCGAACUUUGCAGCCUUUGCCGUAUCCGUGAGCAUUGCCAUCUGGCUUACAAUCGACUGACCCAUAUUCAACGACUGUUGGUAUGGAAGCCUGCUCCACUCCAGUCCUCAACCACUCAGGCCAGCAGCAGGCCUCUGCAAGAGAGAGCCUGCAUGAGCCACCAGAAAGAAUACUCGCUACUGCAACCAAGAUCUGCACCAAGGGAUACUUCCCUCCGGGUCACCCCGGAGCCAGCACCGCGAACCCUUGCGUCUCGCCUACGCACUGCUGCACCUGCCCUGCUGCCACAGCAGCGGCGCGGUGUAAGUCAAACAACGCCUCUGGCUUGAGCAUCAUCCAUUUUCGAAGCUGCCCGCUUCGGCAGGUGGGUUGUUACACACUCCUAAGCGG